rnacentral:sRNA from 2 species
GCGGAGGAAAAGAAACCAACAGGGAUUGCCCUAGUAACGGCGAGUGAAGCGGCAACAGCUCAAAUUUGAAAUCUGGCGUCUUCGGCGUCCGAGUUGUAAUUUGCAGAGGGCGCUUUGGCAUUGGCAGCGGUCCAAGUUCCUUGGAACAGGACGUCACAGAGGGUGAGAAUCCCGUACGUGGUCGCUAGCCUUUACCGUGUAAAGCCCCUUCGACGAGUCGAGUUGUUUGGGAAUGCAGCUCUAAAUGGGAGGUAAAUUUCUUCUAAAGCUAAAUACUGGCCAGAGACCGAUAGCGCACAAGUAGAGUGAUCGAAAGAUGAAAAGCACUUUGGAAAGAGAGUUAAAAAGCACGUGAAAUUGUUGAAAGGGAAGCGCUUGCAGCCAGACUUGCCUGUAGUUGCUCAUCCGGGUUUCUACCCGGUGCACUCUUCUAUAGGCAGGCCAGCAUCAGUUUGGGCGGUUGGAUAAAGGUCUCUGUCAUGUACCUCUCUUCGGGGAGAACUUAUAGGGGAGACGACAUGCAACCAGCCUGGACUGAGGUCCGCGCAUCUGCUAGGAUGCUGGCGUAAUGGCUGUAAGCGGCCCGUCUUGAAACACGGACCAAGGAGUCUAACAUCUAUGCGAGUGUUUGGGUGUCAAGCCCGAGCGCGUAAUGAAAGUGAACGGAGGUGGGAACCUUUCGGGGUGCACCAUCGACCGAUCCUGAUGUCUUCGGAUGGAUUUGAGUAAGAGCAUAGCUGUUGGGACCCGAAAGAUGGUGAACUAUGCUUGAAUAGGGUGAAGCCAGAGGAAACUCUGGUGGAGGCUCGCAGCGGUUCUGACGUGCAAAUCGAUCGUCAAAUUUGGGCAUAGGGGCGAAAGACUAAUCGAACUAUCUAGUAGCUGGGUCCUGCGAUU